rnacentral:rRNA from 1 species
AUGCCCAGUCGUAAAACCAACUCACACCCACACACGCCAGGGAACUACAAGCCUAGCUUAAAACCCAAGGGACUUGACGGUGUCCUACCCCACUAGAGGAGCCUGUCCUAGAAUCGACAAUACCCGCUUAACCUUACCACUUCUUGCUUUACUCAGUUAGUAUACUUCCGUCGUAAGCUUACCGUAUGAGCGAACAUUAGUAGGCCCAAUGUCACCCCAUCAAUACGUCAGGUCAAGGUGCAGCAUAAGAAGUGGGCUGAGAUGGGCUACACUCUCUAAAUUAGAAUACACGGAGCACAGAAUGAAACGCACCUGUGAAGGUGGAUUUAGUAGUAAAAAGAAAAUAAAGUGUCCUUUUUAACAGCGGCACUGGGACGCGUACAAACCGCCCGUCACUCUCCUCAAUAGAUUCACAUAGUAAAUAACACAAAACUUACUAUAAGAGGAGGUAAGUCGUAACACGGUAAGUGUACCGGAAGGUGCACUUGGAUGG